rnacentral:rRNA from 1 species
GAGCACGCCGCGUGGAGGAUGAAGGCCGUAAGGUUGUAAACUCCUGUUAGAGGGGAAGAACACUACCGAUUGGAUCGGUAUUUGACUGUACCCUCAGAGAAAGCCCCGGCUAACUACGUGCCAGCAGCCGCGGUAAUCGAAAUAU